CUAUACUCUUAUGAGUAUAGUCUCUUUUGUACUCAAAAAUUUUCGGCCGUUAGAUCUACCAUUUUCACCAUUUCCACCCAUUAGAUUAUACUAUUCAAUCAACCACUCACUCAACCCUAGAGGACCACUAUCAUCCUAACCGCACAUCCUUUCAUCCAACAGUCGAAAACUUAUGAGUAUAAAGAGAUCUAUAUUCAUAAGAGUAUAGUAGCCCUAACCUAUAUAAGAUACCCAAUUUAAUAAAAUUAUCUUCAAAUGAAUAAAUAAAAUUUACAAAUUAAUCGAACACUUCUCAGCUAAUUUGCAUAAAAAAUCCACAA
rnacentral:lncRNA from 1 species